CUUAUCCUUCUCAGACGGAAAAUCUCCCUCAAAAUCACUUUUUUCAAAAUCACUUUUUCUCCAUCGAAACCGUAAUUUCUCCGAUCAAAAUCAUUAUUUCUCCAUCAAUGUUUCUCCUUUAUCAAUCAAAAUCGCCGCUUCUCUAUCAUCGAUCGAAAUCCUUGUUUCUUCAUAAUCGAUUGAAAUCGCAACUUCUCGUUCAUUGAUCGAAGCUUCAACUUCCCCUUCUUCGUUGAAAAUCACUGCUUUAACUUUCUCUUCGGAAAUCGCUACUUCAACUUUCUAAUCAGUUACUUUACCAUUCGAAAUCGCUCACGCAUUUCUCAAAACCUAAUACUUGAGGUAAUUGGUUUUUCUUGAAUCAAAUCUCACAGAAUCACUCAUUCACUCUAAUAAAACUUAUCUGAAGAAUAUCUUUCUCCGAUUUACACGGUUUCUAUCAUAACAGUUUGUUGUUGCAGCAUCUCUUUUCGAUCUUUGCUACAACUGUGCAUUUUUCUCUGAUCGAUACUAUCGAUAUUCUAUUUUACUAAUUUUAAGGUAUAGUUGAUGUUGAUUUUAAAAUUUUCAGAUAUAGUUAUCAUGAAUAUCCUGAUAUAAUAUUUAAAUUAGAUAAAAUUAUCAUGAAUAUUCUUUAGAAUGUUGUUAGAAGAAACUGAUUCCAAAGUUACUAGACAAAGGUUGAUGGAUAAAGUUAUACACUUGUAUAGUGUAAGUAUUUAGUGUUUUUUUGUUAUUAUUUUAUAAGUUGUUUUAUCAGGCUAUCUUGGAUGGAAAUAAGCUAUAGGUGAAAACAGCUUUAGAACUAAGUUGUUUCACUAGUUUCACGAUUACUUAUGAUAGUAGAUAAAUUUGAAUAAGUCGAUUCAAAUGGCAAACCGACUCUAAAUUAGUAAGUCUAAAUACACAAAUUUCCUUGAUUUUUGUUUUCUAAACCUCUAAGGUUUUGUUAAGAUUAGACUAAUAACACUAUCAGUUAUUCCUUUGAAGUGAAUUGAUCUUGAUUUGGAAUUUGAACAAGCUUGUUUUGCUCUGUUUGUGUUUUCAAACUUCUAGAAAACUUGUUAAUAUGAUGUUGGCUGAAUAAACUUGGUGUUUUUACUUAUAGAUGUAGAGAGAGGGUGUAUGUUUUGUGUUCUUUGCUAUUGUGUAGUUUAUGAAAUGUUUGUUGAAGAAUCACAAUUGCUCCAUUGAUAAAUAAUAACCAUUUUAAGUUUGUAUAAAACAAUUUUCAUCUGUUUCAUGUUGAAUAUUUAUUUCUCCAUUGAUAUUUUUAAAAUCAUAUUAGUUGCAGUACCCAAUUACUUAGUUGGUAUGACCUCUCUUGCAAUUCCACAUAUGCACUAAAUUUGAAAUACAUGAUUAAUACUUUAUUAAUUGAUUAACAUUGUUGGUCCGAUUAACUUUAAGUCCGUGCCAUUACGGUUAUGAGGUAUUGUCCGAUUUGGGUGUGACAAUUCUCAUGUCUUUGUAUUUUAGAAAAGACGUUUCUUUAAGUUGAUGGAAAGGGGUAGUUGGGUCUAUCGUUGAGCGAUAUGUAACUAUGUCUAAUUUCCUUGUCAUUAUAAUUUCAGAGAAGACUCAAGGUUGAAGCUGUAAUUUCUUUGAUUGCUACAAAGAACUUCAAUUACAUGGAAGCAACUCAUUAAUUAAGAUCUCUAACAAGUUAUGAUUGAGAUUUGAUGGAAAAAUGAACCAUGAUUUUGAGGAAAUUUCAGUGGUGCCUGUCGCACGCUCGCGAAAAAUGAACAGAGUCGCCACCAAUAUAUUUAUCCCAUAAGGGAAAGGAAUAUCAGAAAACCUAACAAAGGAAGGAACAGGGUCUUGCGACCAGAGAAUCUAGGUACGGGAGUCGGUUACGCAAGGGGAAGGUAUUAGCACCCCUCGCGCCCAUCGUACUCGAUGGUAUCCACCUAUGUUUGUUUCUAUCUAAAGGGUGUGUACUAUGUCUAUGUCUAUAUGCGAAUGCAUGCAAAAAGAAAUACGGGGAAAAGAAGGAUUAUUUACAAAUGUGCUCGUUCAAGCCCCGCGACUUGAUGCCUACGUAUCCUUUUCAGGAAUCAGAGCGCCGUAGUUCGGCUCCAUAGUUUCGUUUGUUUUUGUGUUUUUUAGUUGGGCGGCGUUAACGCUCGCGCUCUUGCACAAGGGGACAACCUAGGAUGCAAUGGAGCGGAAAUAACGGUGCCCUUAAGAAAACGAGAGAAGAGAGAGAGAGUUUGAGUGUUUCGAGGAAAUCCCUUAAGCAAGGGAAACUCGAGUUACUCUUUGGUUUGUGUUUUUUAGAGGUUGGGAACUUACGCCUGAAUGGAACCCUUAAGCAAGGGAGCUCCAAGCACUCGAACAUCCCUUAAGCAAGAGAAGUUACAAGCUUCCAUUCCCUUUUUAUUAGUCAAAGUAUUUAUUAGUCAUUUUUUAUGAGUUUUCUUGGUAUUUUUUAUGGGAGUUUAUUUUGAAUAUUUUUAGAUGUUUUAGGGUUGUAAAAGAAAAUAGAAACUAGCCUAAUAUGAAUGGGGAAUUUCUACCUAAUAUUAUCAUGGCCUCUACCUAAGGUUAGGGUUUAAAAGAAGCAUGAAAAAUAAAACUCUAAGUAGAAUAUUGAAAAUAGCAUGAAGGCAUGAAAAAGAACAAGUCAAAAUAUAGCACAAAAGUGGAUUAAAACUACUAUUAUUAUUAUGGUUUUUUAUGAAAGAAAUGAGUUCAAAAGAUUAAUGUCAAAAUCUACUUAUUUUUAUAAGUAUUUUUUAUAUGGGUUAAAAAUGAUUUAUGGAUAAAAAAUCAAAAGAAAGCAAAAAAUGAAAAUAGAAUCAAAUCCAAACAUACAGGGGGUGAGAAUUGAAACUACUGGUAUGAUUAGCAAUGAUGCAGGGCCCAUAGCCCGAAAGAGGUUUUUUUUUUUUGGUUCAGUUUCUCUGAUAAAAACGUGUGAUGGGCCCUGUAGGUGUUGAAUCUCGGUGAAGGCCCAAAGAGUAAUGCCAUGUUCAGAUUAAUUCAACCAGUUUUUUGUUUUUACCAUGAUAAAAAAUUAAAACAGAACAAAAUAAUAAAAUGGUAAUGGAGAAAUUGGGAAUUAGGGUUAACGAUACCGAUUGGGAUGUCUCAGAAAUUCUCCUUCCUCGCUCGUGGUUGAAGACGGCGGCUUCCCUUUUGCUUCUCCGUCGAGCUCUCUUCGAUCAACCUCGAUUCUCCUCUCUUGCUCUCCGACGUCUCCUCUUACGAACGCCGCCGCACCGGUGAGUGCCUCCUAGAAGCGGUGUCUCCGAAAACUCAACCGAUGUCACCUCAGCCACCCUCCGUCUUCGACUCGUCUUCUCCUUCUAUUACUCAGUCGCGCAAAUUCGAUGAUGUCUAGAAGCCAUUAGCAACGGAAUCAGAAAUCCACCUUGGCGCGUCUCAGGUACUUCUCUAUGUUCUUUGCUUCAUUGUCUCCGAUUCAAACAUUCUUCUCUUUGGUUUUUCUUCUUCUUUUUCUUCGAUUUGCUCUUCUUCUAUGUUGUUGUGUAUUGCUGCGUUGAGAGAUGCGAGUUGAGAGCUUGCGAGUAAGAUUGAGUUGCAGAGAGAUUGCGCGUUGAGAGGAAUGAGAAUGAAUCAGUGAAAUGGCGUGGGACGAUGAAGUGGUGGCAGAGUGAGGAUGAAGCGUGUGUUUGAACUUUUAACUGUACACUUCUUCUUUCAACGUUUGCAAGCGAAACGAUGAUGAAGCUUGUGCUUUUUCUUCGGUCCCCUUUUCUGCAGGUGAAUGGAGCUGACUUUUUAUACGGGCAUUGAUUGGGCUCUUGUAAUGUAACUUCUGGAUUUCUAUGCCUUUCGAAAUGGUGACGCGUUUUGAUACGCAAUUGCAGGUCUGGUGUGAUAUGUUAGAAAGGGUAUGGUUUGGAAGAAACUUGGUUCUAAGAUGGGAGCUUGGAUCACUUAACACAAUCAACUGUAGCAAUGGUUCAGAACAAGUCAGUGGCGGAGGGUUAGAUUUAUUUCUGUUUUUUGGUAGUUUUGCUUCUGUCAGUAGUGUAAAGAUUAAAACGAAAGUCUGCUGAAAGUUAGUUGUCAUAGGUUAUUAGGAAAUUGGUAUUGUUAGUUUAGUGUAGCAUGACGGUUCGAAUUCUAAGGGGUUUUGUGGUUUAUUAUUUUUGGGAAUUAAAAAGGUAUGUGGUUAGUAUGUGUAUGGCAGCAGGUUUGAAUGGUAAUUGUGUAGGGGCUGUUUUCUUUUUGUAUUGAACUAAUGUAUGUUAAUACUUAAUGGAUGUGCUUGGUACUGGAAGUUGGUUUUGAAUAGUGGCAGGUGUACAUGACUUGAAGAUGGCUUGAAUAUUGUGAUGAGUGUUUAAGUGUUGAACAUCAGCUGACUGCAGACAGGACUUGAAUAUGCUGUUAGAUUUGAGUCUGAAUUUGGUUUUAUGUAUGGCUGAACCAUGAUGAAUGAUGAUACUGAACUGAGACAUUCUGAUAUUGCAGGUUUGGAGCAGCAUGAGGAAGUGAAUAUUGUGGCUGAGUGACUGCUAUGGUUGAAUGGGGUGGGACUGAUUUAAUGUUGGCUUGAUAGUGCCGAGUCAGAUUCAAGUGUACCUCAAGAGUGUUUCGCUUUUUUUUUGUGAUCGUUUUGAAUUAUGUAUUUAUGGUGCCAGUUUAGGUCUUUUCUCUCGGAUGGAUGCAAGAUACGAUGACUUGAUUUGAACUGAUAUUGGCUCCGAUGUGUAUGGGACUGUUAGUAAAUGGAUGUGGAAUGUAUUUUUAUGAACCAAGACUUAUUUCAAAUAUAUUUUGGAGUGUAUGUGAAUGUAUGUAUUAAUGCAAGACUGUAUGAUUGUAUUGGCUUGUUUGACAAACUCCCUGUAAUAGCUUCUGACCCAUGUAAUGAUAGGGAUGUUGAAUGGAACUUGUAUCCUUUUAGACAUGACUGAAAGCUUGAAUUGUAGUGCAAAUAGAUUUUAGCUUUUUCUUCCUUUCAAAAGCAAUUUGAAAAUUCCUCCCUACACUUUGAAACAUCAAAUCUUUUGCCAUUACUUUACUCACCAUGCUUGAAUCCAACUACCAAUAAGAAAGCCUUUAGUUAUAGCUUC